GAUGAACGCUGGCGGCGUGCUUAACACAUGCAAGUCGAACGAGAAAUGUAGACGGAAACCUUCGGGCGGAAGCCUUCAUUUCGAGUGGCGGACGGGUGAGUAACGCGUGGGUAACCUGCCUCAUACAGGGGGAUAACAGUUGGAAACGACUGUUAAUACCGCAUAAGACCACAGCAUCGCAUGAUGCGGGGGUAAAAACUCCGGUGGUAUGAGAUGGACCCGCGUUCGAUUAGCCAGAUGGCGGGGUAACGGCCCACCAAAGCGACGAUCGAUAGCCGAUCUGAGAGGAUGACCGGCCACAUUGGGACUGAGACACGGCCCAAACUCCUACGGGAGGCAGCAGUGGGUAAUAUUGCACAAUGGGGGAAACCCUGAUGCAGCGACGCCGCGUGAGUGUAGAAGUACUUCGGUAUGUAAAGCUCUAUCAGCAGGGAAGAAAAUGACGGUACCUGAGUAAGAAGCCCCGGCUAACUACGUG
rnacentral:rRNA from 1 species